AUGAGUUUGUAAAUUAUUUUCUUUCUUGCCUUGUAAAUUUGAGUUCAGAUUUCCUAUAGUUUGAUUCAUUUAUAAAUUAUUAAUUUGAUCGGAAAUUUUGAGUCGAAUGUAGUUGUAUUUGACGAAAGCCGUUAAGUUGAGCUGGCCAGUGAGACCGGUGAGAUGUUGAGGAAGGGCUACUGCUACAUCUAUUGUCAUUCGAUAGAUGAAAUGCUGAGUCGAGAUGCAAGUCUGUAUCCAGUCAGUUAUACAAGGAAUGCAAUUGAAGUCAACCAUGAAGAUAUGCAAAGUCAAAUUCGAUGAUUCUUUGCUCGACUUCAUUAUCAUGUAUGGCGUGUGUUCGUGCUGGUGCUGUAUAUAUGACUCGUGUUUAUACAUGUAGAGAAACAAAUUUGAGAUUAUUAAUGUUUAGAUUGUCUCUGCAAAUGGCUGUGGAAUGAUUAUUAUGAUUGAUUUUAUGAUGAUGUAAUUAUUACUAUCUUGGUUUAAGGGUUUUGUGAUUAUGUCAUAAGUUAAGGUGACUCGAGAAACUCUGGCUCACUAUUUUUUUACCAAGUGUAAAUUUGAAAUUGAUUAGUGAUGUAACAAGGU